AGAGGCCCUUCUGCGGCCAGGCGCAGAACGCUUGCCUCGUCGCCGGGGCGACAAAGCAAGCAUUCUGCCAGGCCACUCACACUGCCCAC
rfam:Myotis brandtii contig186236, whole genome shotgun sequence.